rnacentral:Y_RNA from 13 species
GGCUGGUCCGAGUGCAGUGGUGUUUACAACUAAUUGAUCACAACCAGUUACGAAUUUCUUUGUUCCUUCUCCACUCCCACUGCUUCACUUGACUAGACUUAA